rnacentral:rRNA from 1 species
AGCCAGACUCCUACGGGAGGCAGCAGUGGGGAAUAUUGCACAAUGGGGGAAACCCUGAUGCAGCGACGCCGCGUGAGUGAAGAAGUAUUUCGGUAUGUAAAGCUCUAUCAGCAGGGAAGAAAAUGACGGUACCUGAUUAAGAAGCCCCGGCUAACUACGUGCCAGCAGCCGCGGUAAUACGUAGGGGGCAAGCGUUAUCCGGAUUUACUGGGUGUAAAGGGAGCGUAGACGGCAGUGCAAGUCUGAAGUGAAAGCCCCGGGCUUAACCCGGGAACUGCUUUGGAAACUGUACGGCUGGAGUGCUGGAGAGGUAAGCGGAAUUCCUAGUGUAGCGGUGAAAUGCGUAGAUAUUAGGAGGAACACCAGUGGCGAAGGCGGCUUACUGGACAGUAACUGACGUUGAGGCUCGAAAGCGUGGGGAGCAAACAGGAUUAGAUACCCCAGUACCG